UGUCCUACGGGACGCAGCAGUAGGGAAUCUUCCGCAAUGGACGAAAGUCUGACGGAGCAACGCCGCGUGAGUGAAGAAGGUUUUCGGAUCGUAAAACUCUGUUGUUAAAGAAGAACAAGGAUGAGAGUAACUGCUCAUCCCCUGACGGUAUUUAACCAGAAAGCCACGGCUAACUACGUGCCAGCAGCCGCGGUAAUACGUAGGUGGCGAGCGUUGUCCGGAUUUAUUGGGCGUAAAGCGAGCGCAGGCGGUUCUUUAAGUCUGAUGUGCAAGCCCC
rnacentral:rRNA from 1 species